rnacentral:rRNA from 1 species
GACGAACGCUGGCGGCGUGCUUAACACAUGCAAGUCGAACGGAAAGGCCCUGCUUUUGUGGGGUGCUCGAGUGGCGGACGGGUGAGUAACACGUGAGUAACCUGCCCUUGACUUUGGGAUAACUUCAGGAAACUGGGGCUAAUACCGGAUAGGAGCUCCUGCUGCAUGGGGGGGGUUGGAAAGUUUCGGCGGUUGGGGAUGGACUCGCGGCUUAUCAGCUUGUUGGUGGGGUAGUGGCUUACCAAGGCUUUGACGGGUAGCCGGCCUGAGAGGGUGACCGGCCACAUUGGGACUGAGAUACGGCCCAGACUCCUACGGGAGGCAGCAGUGGGGAAUAUUGCACAAUGGGCGGAAGCCUGAUGCAGCAACGCCGCGUGCGGGAUGACGGCCUUCGGGUUGUAAACCGCUUUCGCCUGUGACGAAGCGUGAGUGACGGUAAUGGGUAAAGAAGCACCGGCUAACUACGUG